rnacentral:rRNA from 1 species
ACUCCUACGGGAGGCAGCAGUGGGGAAUUUUGCGCAAUGGGGGAAACCCUGACGCAGCAACGCCGCGUGAGUGAUGAAGGCCUUCGGGUCGUAAAGCUCUGUCAGAGGGAAAGAAGUGUAUAGUGGCUAAUACCCAUUAUACUUGACGGUACCCUCAAAGGAAGCACCGGCUAACUCCGUGCCAGCAGCCGCGGUAAUACGGAGGGUGCGAGCGUUGUUCGGAUUUAUUGGGCGUAAAGCGCGUGUAGGCGGUCUUUUAAGUCUGAUGUGAAAGCCCUGGGCUCAACCCGGGAAGUGCAUUGGAAACUGGGAGACUUGAAUACGGGAGAGGGUAGUGGAAUUCCUGGUGUAGGAGUGAAAUCCGUAGAUAUCAGGAGGAACACCGGUGGCGAAGGCGGCUGCCUGGACCGAUAUUGACGCUGAGACGCGAAAGCGUGGGGAGCAAACAGGAUUAGAUACCCUGGUAGUCCACGCGGUAAACGAUGAGAACUAGGUGUCGCGGGUA